UGAACGCUGGCGGCGUGCCUAAUACAUGCAAGUCGAGCGAACGGACGAGAAGCUUGCUUUUCUGAUGUUAGCGGCGGACGGGUGAGUAACACGUGGAUAACCUACCUAUAAGACUGGGAUAACUUCGGGAAACCGGAGCUAAUACCGGAUAAUAUUUUGAACCGCAUGGUUCAAAAGUGAAAGACGGUCUUGCUGUCACUUAUAGAUGGAUCCGCGCUGCAUUAGCUAGUUGGUAAGGUAACGGCUUACCAAGGCAACGAUGCAUAGCCGACCUGAGAGGGUGAUCGGCCACACUGGAACUGAGACACGGUCCAGACUCCUACGGGAGGCAGCAGUAGGGAAUCUUCCGCAAUGGGCGAAAGCCUGACGGAGCAACGCCGCGUGAGUGAUGAAGGUCUUCGGAUCGUAAAACUCUGCUAUUAGGGAAGAACAUAUGUGUAAGUAACUGUGCACAUCUUGACGGUACCUAAUCAGAAAGCCACGGCUAACUACGUG
rnacentral:rRNA from 1 species